GACGAACGCUGGCGGCGUGCUUAAUACAUGCAAGUCGAACGGAAAGGCCCCUUUGGGGGUACUCGAGUGGCGCACGGGUGAGUAACACGUGAGUAACCUGCCCUUGACUUCGGGAUAACUUCAGGAAACUGGGGCUAAUACCGGAUAGGAAUCCUUGCUGCAUGGUGGGGGUUGGAAAGCUUCGGCGGUUUUGGAUGGACUCGCGGCUUAUCAGCUUGUUGGUGGGGUAGUGGCUUACCAAGGCUUUGACGGGUAGCCGGCCUGAGAGGGCGACCGGCCACAUUGGGACUGAGAUACGGCCCAGACUCCUACGGGAGGCAGCAGUGGGGAAUAUUGCACAAUGGGCGGAAGCCUGAUGCAGCAACGCCGCGUGCGGGAUGACGGCCUUCGGGUUGUAAACCGCGUUCAGCAGGGGCGAAGCUUGUGGUGACGGUACCUGCAGAAGAAGCACCGGCUAACUACGUG
rnacentral:rRNA from 1 species